rnacentral:tRNA from 1 species
UGGGGCGUGGCCAAGUGGUAAGGCGCAUGGUUUUGGUCCAUGUAUUCGGGGGUUCGAGUCCCUCCGCCCCAGCCA